rnacentral:rRNA from 1 species
AGACCCGAAACCCGGUGAUCUAGCCAUGGGCAGGUUGAAGGUUGGGUAACACUAACUGGAGGACCGAACCGACUAAUGUUGAAAAAUUAGCGGAUGACCUGUGGCUGGGGGUGAAAGGCCAAUCAAACCGGGAGAUAGCUGGUUCUCCCCGAAAGCUAUUUAGGUAGCGCCUCGUGAAUUCAUCUCCGGGGGUAGAGCACUGUUUCGGCUAGGGGGCCAUCCCGGCUUACCAACCCGAUGCAAACUGCGAAUACCGGAGAAUGUUAUCACGGGAGACACACGGCGGGUGCUAACGUCCGUCGUGAAGAGGGAAACAACCCAGACCGCCAGCUAAGGUCCCAAAGUCAUGGUUAAGUGGGAAACGAUGUGGGAAGGCCCAGACAGCCAGGAUGUUGGCUUAGAAGCAGCCAUCAUUUAAAGAAAGCGUAAUAGCUCACUGGUCGAGUCGGCCUGCGCGGAAGAUGUAACGGGGCUAAACCAUGCACCGAAGCUGCGGCAGCGAACGUAUCACCCAAGACAACUUUACGGAGUUGACGAUUGACGGAGCGAAGCGACGUCAAAGCGUUCAUUAAAGUCGAGUUGGCUUAGGGAUACGUUCGUUGGGUAGGGGAGCGUUCUGUAAGCCUGUGAAGGUGUGUCGUGAGGCAUGCUGGAGGUAUCAGAAGUGCGAAUGCUGACAUAAGUAACGAUAAAGCGGGUGAAAAGCCCGCUCGCCGGAAGACCAAGGGUUCCUGUCCAACGUUAAUCGGGGCAGGGUGAGUCGACCCCUAAGGCGAGGCCGAAAGGCGUAGUCGAUGGGAAACGGGUUAAUAUUCCCGUACUUGGUGUUACUGCGAAGGGGGGACGGAGAAGGCUAUGUUGGCCGGGCGACGGUUGUCCCGGUUUAAGCGUGUAGGUGUGUGUUCCAGGUAAAUCCGGUUCACUUUAACACUGAGGCGUGACGACGAGGCACUACGGUGCUGAAGCAACAAAUGCCCUGCUUCCAGGAAAAGCCUCUAAGCAUCAGGUAACAUCAAAUCGUACCCCAAACCGACACAGGUGGUCAGGUAGAGAAUACCAAGGCGCUUGAGAGAACUCGGGUGAAGGAACUAGGCAAAAUGGUGCCGUAACUUCGGGAGAAGGCACGCUGACACGUAGGUGAAGUGAUUUACUCAUGGAGCUGAAGUCAGUCGAAGAU